AACGAACGCUGGCGGCAUGCCUAACACAUGCAAGUCGAACGAGACCAUCGGGUCUAGUGGCGCACGGGUGCGUAACGCGUGGGAACCUGCCCUUAGGUUCGGAAUAACUCCCCGAAAGGGGUGCUAAUACCGGAUAAUGUCUUCGGACCAAAGAUUUAUCGCCUUUGGAUGGGCCCGCGUGGGAUUAGCUAGUUGGUAGGGUAAAAGCCUACCAAGGCGACGAUCCAUAGCUGGUCUGAGAGGAUGAUCAGCCACACUGGGACUGAGACACGGCCCAGACUCCUACGGGAGGGAGCAGUGGGGAAUAGUGGACAAUGGGCGAAAGCCUGAUCCAGCAAUGCCGCGUGAGUGAUGAAGGCCGUAGGGUUGUAAAGCUCUUUUAACCGGGAAGAUAAUGACAGUACCGGGAGAAUAAGCUCCGGCUAACUACGUG
rnacentral:rRNA from 1 species